AAAGAUUAAGCCAUGCAGGUCUCAGUGCAAGCCGAAUUAAGGUGAAACCGCGAAAAGCUCAUUAAAUCAGCUAUGGUUCCUUAGAUGGUACGUACAGUUACUUGGAUAACUGUGGCAAUUCUAGAGCUAAUACAUGCAAACCGAGUUCCGACCGCUUAGCAGGCGGAAGGAAUGCUUUUAUUAGAUCAAAACCAAUCGAACUCUACACGUAUGGGUUCGUUUAAGUCUUGGUGACUCUGAAUAACUUUGUGCUGAUCGCACGGUCCCGCACCGGCGACGCAUCUUUCAAAUGUCUGACUUAUCAACUUUCGAUGGUAAGCUCUGCGCCUACCAUGGUCGUAACGGGUAACGGGGAAUCAGGGUUCGAUUCCGGAGAGGGAGCCUGAGAAACGGCUACCACAUCCAAGGAAGGCAGCAGGCGCGCAAAUUACCCACUCCCGGCACGGGGAGGUAGUGACGAAAAAUAACGAUGCAGAACUCUUUCCGAGGCUCUGCAAUCGGAAUGAGAACACUCUAAAUCAUUUAACGAGUAUCCAUUGGAGGGCAAGUCUGG
rnacentral:rRNA from 1 species